rnacentral:rRNA from 1 species
UUCGAUGAUACGCGAGGAACCUUACCUGGGCUCGAACGUAAGAUGACUGUAGGUGAAAGCUUACAUCUCUUCGGAGCAUUUUACGAGGUGCUGCAUGGUUGUCGUCAGCUCGUGCCGUGAGGUGUCGGGUUAAGUCCCAUAACGAGCGCAACCCCUACCUUUAGUUGCCAUCAGGUUAAGCUGGGGACUCUAAAGGAACUGCCUACGCAAGUAGUGAGGAAGGCGGGGAUGACGUCAAAUCAGCACGGCCCUUACGUCCAGGGCUACACACGUGCUACAAUGGCCGAUACAGAGGGCAGCUACCUGGUGACAGGAUGCAAAUCUCCAAAGUCGGUCUCAGUUCGGAUCGGAGUCUGCAACCCGACUCCGUGAAGUUGGAUUCGCUAGUAAUCGCGCAUCAGCCAUGGCGCGGUGAAUACGUUCCCGGGCCUU